CCUACGGGGGGCAGCAGUGAGGAAUAUUGGUCAAUGGCCGAGAGGCUGAACCAGCCAAGUCGCGUGAGGGAAGAAUGUCCUAUGGAUUGUAAACCUCUUUUGUCAGGGAGCAAAGUCACCCACGUGUGGGUGUUGGAGAGUACCUGAAGAAAAAGCAUCGGCUAACUCCGUGCCAGCAGCCGCGGGAAUACGGAGGAUGCGAGCGUUAUCCGGAAUUACUGGGGGUAAAGGGAGCGUAGACGGCGAGGUAAGCCUGAAGUGGAAGCCCGCGGCCCAACCGCGGAACUGCUUUGGGAACUGGUGUGCUGGAGUAUGGGAGGGGUAAGCGGAAUUCCUGGUGUAGCGGUGAAAUGCGUAGAUAUCAGGAGGAACACCGGUGGCGAAGGCGGCUUACUGGACCAUAACUGACGUUGAGGCUCGAAAGCGUGGGGAGCGAACAGGAUUAGAUACCCUUGUAGUC
rnacentral:rRNA from 1 species